rnacentral:misc_RNA from 1 species
AACGCACCUUGCGCUCCCUGCAGAUCUAAUCUGGGGAGCAUGCCUGUUUGAGGGCCGCGAAUUGUUUCGAACGACACCUUUUUUUUUUUAACGAAGAGGGUGACGGAUCGGUAUUGAGGAUUUUUGCCAUUCACCGUGGCUUCCUCGAAAAGCAUUAGCGCAUCCAUUCAAUAGGCAAGACGGACGAAAGCUCGAAUUUCGCCCUGUUCUUCCCUGCCGGGUUUUGAUAAUAUCAGGACUUCGGAGGCGGAGAGAGGGUUCAAGCUGGACGCAACGUUUUGCUGGUUGGAGUGCUUCUAACCCCGCCCAUGACUGGUCCUUCGGGAACAGGAAGGGAUUUUUUUCAAUUCAUCGGCCUCAGAUUGGUAGGACUACCCGCUGAACUUAA